AGCAGUGGGGAAUCUUGGACAAUGGGGGCAACCCUGAUCCAGCCAUGCCGCGUGAGUGAUGAAGGCCCUAGGGUCGUAAAGCUCUUUCGCCUGUGAAGAUAAUGACGGUAGCAGGUAAAGAAACCCCGGCUAACUCCGUGCCAGCAGCCGCGGUAAUACGGAGGGGGUUAGCGUUGUUCGGAAUUACUGGGCGUAAAGCGCACGUAGGCGGAUCGGAAAGUUGGGGGUGAAAUCCCGGGGCUCAACCCCGGAACUGCCUCCAAAACUAUCGGUCUAGAGUUCGAGAGAGGUGAGUGGAAUUCCGAGUGUAGAGGUGAAAUUCGUAGAUAUUCGGAGGAACACCAGUGGCGAAGGCGGCUCACUGGCUCGAUACUGACGCUGAGGUGCGAAAGUGUGGGGAGCAAACAGGAU
rnacentral:rRNA from 1 species